CAGCAACCCAGAAAUGCCGAUGGAAAUAUACAAAUGAGGCCCCCAUAAAAGUCUGUUCUCUUUAGCCAAAGGAGCAGGAAAAGGGCAACUUAACAAAACGUAAAACUUUUAGACAAUAACUGUUCUAACUAAAGCAAAUACCACAGAGAAAAACUGUAGCUCCACCUCCCCAACCAUGCCGGCAAAGGCUAAGGGAAGCCUAGAAUUCCACCCUCAUAAGGCUGUCAUGAGGAAUCCCAACACCACUGCCAGGGUGAUGUCACAGAAGGCCAAGUAGGAACUGGAACUUUCAUCCCAGCCAACCAGUAAUGAGCAUCCUCCUCCCACAAUGAUAUCAGUGGAGAUCACAUGGGAGUCAGAACCCUCUUUCCAGCAGUAACAGAUCAUAGGGAAAUACGUCUUCACAUAGCAGAUGGGAGCAAAAUAUGACUUGAAUAGUUCUAUUCUCAUCAAGACUGUUUGUAAGAAAUAGGCACUGGAGAUCCAGCUGAAGAAAAGAGAUUUACUUGAAACUCCAGGAUGGGGACAAUACUGAUGGCACCUUAUGGGAACUGGAGCUCCAUUACUUUCUAUAUUUCUUUGUUUCUGUUUCAUUACUAAGAAGAGCUUCCCUCUGUGCCAUUUAGUUGAAAUUCAAUAGAGAGGGUCUACGACUGGCCCAUUCGCCAAGCCACACCAUACAAGUCCAAGGCUGCUGAGGAGAUUGUGGAUUAGCUACUUAUAGAUCAGCUGUCCAGGCAUGGUCCAUUUAGCUAUGGGACAGAUAGGGCCCUGUCCUGUGAUACGGAAUAAGGGCCUUCAAGGCAUCCUUGAGAUGAAUAAGUCAAUGAAUGAAUAAAUAUCAAAGCAAUCUGGACAGGGCAGGCAAUAACAGGGAUCUCUAUCACAUCUGCUUUCUCUCCAUCAGCAAGCAGCAUUUUAUAAGAGCCUGUCUCCCCUGGAUCUCCCUUACACUCAACAUGUAAUCUGAAAAAUCCUUUCUGUGGCCUGCAUUUCUUUGCAAGACUCAGUUCAUUUGGAACAUUAGUGUUCUGACAGUUGUUUUUGUUUCCUUCUUUCUAGUUAUAUAUCAACCUUUCGAAAUCUAAACCCAAUGGCGUAUGUCAGUACAACCAGGCAGGUUUUUGGUAGGACUUCACUAUCAAGGUGGCAUUAUGACUCUUGUAAGCCCUAGGAACUUUUACUUUCAUAAGCCCCAUCCUCAAUUAAAAAAACAUUACGAC
rnacentral:lncRNA from 1 species